rnacentral:rRNA from 1 species
GAUGAACGCUGGCGGCGUGCCUAAUACAUGCAAGUCGAGCGAACAGACGAGGAGCUUGCUCCUCUGACGUUAGCGGCGGACGGGUGAGUAACACGUGGAUAACCUACCUAUAAGACUGGGAUAACUUCGGGAAACCGGAGCUAAUACCGGAUAAUAUAUUGAACCGCAUGGUUCAAUAGUGAAAGACGGUUUUGCUGUCACUUAUAGGUGGAUCCGCGCCGCAUUAGCUAGUUGGUAAGGUAACGGCUUACCAAGGCAACGAUGCGUAGCCGACCUGAGAGGGUGAUCGGCCACACUGGAACUGAGACACGGCCCAGACUCCUACGGGAGGCAGCAGUAGGGAAUCUUCCGCAAUGGGCGAAAGCUUGACGGAGCAACGCCGCGUGAGUGAUGAAGGUCUUCGGCUCGUAAAACUCUGUUAUGAGGGAAGAACAAAUGUGUAAGUAACUAUGCACGUCUUGACGGUACCUAAUCAGAAAGCCACGGCUAACUACGU